GGAGGGAAUGGAGCUGGUGCUCCCCGCGGAAUGCAAAUCCGCUGGCCAUGCCUAACGGCGGGGGUGGCGUUCGAUUCCCACUUCCCUCCUCCA
rnacentral:tRNA from 4 species